UGGGGGUGUGUGUUCUGCCAAAAAAAGCUAACGCGGCGUGGCGCUUCCACUGAGGCCCGGAGCUGCACGUUCAGCUCUUUGGAGGAUGACUCGCACCGACUAACUCGCACUGUCGGCACUUUAUUUAAACGGACAACAAUCAAACCCCCCCUCUCUCCCGAAAUAUUGGCUCUCUGGAUAUCAAAAAGCGAGCAGCAGGGAGGUCGACGAGGUCGCGGUCAUCGCGGUCGGCCGUCCCGGAUGUUAUUUCAUCCGUCUCCCGUAUGACUUACACGCAAAUCAAUUAUUUCACCCUAAUGGUGCAAAAUUGCCGGCUGCAAGAUUUAGAGUUCAAAUAAAUUGUGCGCAGGAGAAGAAGAAGAAGAAGAAGAAGAAGAAGAAGCCCGGGCGGGUGGCAGGUGACCAAGCCAUCGCGAAGAAGCCAAUUAUCAAAGUGAAUACGGAUGUGCAGUAUCAUGCUGUUGUAAUUAUUCUAAAAGAAACACGCUUAAAGCCAGGAUGUCUUAAAAGUGCUCUGUUUAUCCUCCCGUGUGUGAUAACUUUGGAUUAUAUGGAGUGCAACGCGGAGAUGUUUGAGCAACCUCAGGAACCAGGACGCUUCUGGAAAAGAACACGAUCCGUUUCCCCCAUUGAUCGGCCGGCACUCAGUCCGGAGCAUCUGAGGACACGGGGUUUUUUUUUUGUUGGGACCGAGCCCUGAAACACAAUCUUUCCACCCUCUUCAACUCCUCUUCCUAAGCACACAAUUGUCUUUUGAACGACCUUGUGGUGGUCUCUUUUUUACAUUAGUUUUUACUACACUGACCAAUUUCGACUACUUCUACAGGAAAAGUGGUUGAAAGGCUUCAUCGUAUUUUCUCUCCCCCCCCCAGUAGGACACACAUGAUUUCCUCUGGUGGUAUAGAAAGUAUAUACUUCAUAUGUUAAAGCUGCAUUCUAUCUACUGACCACCAGGGGGCGACUCCCCUAGUUGUAUAGAAGUCUAUGCUUCAUGUGUUAAAGCUGCAUUCUAUCUACUGACCACCAGGGGGCGACUCCUCUGGUUGUAUAGAAGUCUAUACCUCAUGUGUUAAAGCUGCAUUCUAUCUACUGACCACCAGGGGGCGACUCCCCUGGUUGUAUAGAAGUCUAUGCUUCAUGUGUUAAAGCUGCAUUCUAUCUACUGACCACCAGGGGGCGACUCCUCUGGUUGUAUAGAAGUCUAUGCCUCAUGUGUUAAAGCUGCAUUCUAUCUACUGACCACCAGGGGGCGACUCCUCUGGUUGUAUAGAGGUCUAUGCUUCAUGUGUUAAAGCUGCAUUCUAUCUACUGACCACCAGGGGGCGACUCCUCUGGUUGUAUAGAAGUCUAUGCCUCAUGUGUUAAAGCUGCAUUCUAUCUACUGACCACCAGGGGCCGACUCCUCUGAUUGCAUAGAAGCAUAUGCUUCAUGUGUUAACCCUUGUGUUGCCUUCGGGUCAAUUUGACCCGAUUCAAUGUUUAACCCUCCUGUUACCUUUAUAUUUACUAACAUAUUUUUCCCUUGAGGUCAAUAUGACCCCAGCUAUUAAAAUCUCCAGAAAAUUAUUAGAAUUAAUAUUGUUUUCCAAGUUUAAGUGUGAGGUACUUUAUGUUUGUUUGUUGACUCCCGAAAGAACACCGACAUUAAACAUUGAAUCGGGUCAAAUUGACCCGAAGGCGACAGGAGGGUUAAAUAUUGAAUCGGGUCAAAAUGACCCGAAGGCAACACAAGGGUUAAAGCUGCAUUAACACAUCCGAUUUAACUUUUUCGCUCCUGCUUGUCGUCGACUCGGCAUUCGUCGUUGUCGCCGAUCCAAAAUAUUCUCAACAUCCCGAAAAGGCUCUCGCAAUCCAGUCUUGGCUCACGACGAGUCGAUCGCAUACGAGGAGCCUCGCGUCACAUUUAUAUUGUUGGCGUACGCUCGACGCCAAGAUGUAAAAGAAAGGAAAUAGAGACGCGAGGGGUCCAACAAGUGCACCGCGGAGCCUUCGCACCACGACGGGAAUUUUAGCGUGAUAGAAGAAGAAGAAGAAGAAGAAGAAGAAGCAGAAGAAGAAGAAGCAGCAGAUGAAGAAAAAAGAAAAGCGCCUCGACCGCUGGAGGAGAUUCUCUUCUCUUUUCUCAGUUUCGGUCGACAGUGGAAAUUCACUGGGUUCUAGCAGCCGAGUGUUGGCUCAGCUGCGCGCUUUAAGAACCCAUGAUGUCAGAGCCUUAUUUUCCUUGGUGAGACUCUCAUCAGCUGCAUUGUUACAGGAAACCAUGGUCUGUUCUCUGGGCACCAACAACAAAAACACACUACAAUGUAGUCUCCCCCCCCCCAUAAGACCCCACCCCUCCCACUGCAACACUUCCUCCUUCUAUCAGAGGACGAGUGUCGGACCCCAACGACGCUCACGACUUCUGAGGCCUGAAAUACCGCGCCUGACAGGUGAUGAGAGCGGAUGAAAAGUUCAAACAAUCGAAACUCAACACACGAGGCCCCCCCCCCCCCCCCCCCCGGAAAAAAUCUGGACGCGAUUACGACAAAAACAAGACCGAAUAUGAACCGGCGCCGGCACCGCCGGCAGUUGAAUAAACUCGGCUGGCAUCGGUCGGAGGUCCGACGAGCCGUGUUGUGGAAACAUAACGACUCGGUAAAUAAUGUUUCGUGGAUACACACAGGAUCACAUCUGGUCCUCGUAAGAUGUUUUGACUCUUGGCUUUUUCUUCUUCUUCUUCUUCUUCAUGAUUUUUAUCAGAGAAAUAUGGUAAUGAUUUCUGUGAAAUUCAGGACCAGGAAGAAGAAAACAACAAUCCGCCGUGACCUUCGCCCAAAAGUUCAGAGGAGAGUUCGUCGACGCUCCUCGGCGAGUGACGAAGGAAGCUUCGGAUCGGCUGGCGAUCGACUCGCCGUCCAGACAUGUGGGAAAAAGGGAAGGAGAGAUUAUCGGGAGGAGAGCGAGAGCGAGAGAGAGGUUACGACAACAGAGCUCGGAGCUCACAAGUUCAGUUGUGCUUCUGCUGGAACGGCCGUGCCCCCGCGGACGAGUUCAGUCCUUCGGUAGAAGUCCUUCGCCCUCCAACAAUAAUACUUACGAAAUAAAGGCCGACCGGCUCCAAGCAAAAUCUCCUCAGCUGAGUUCAACCUCUGUUAUUCAAGUCCACGGCGUCCUGUGGUGUUAAUAAGGUGCGUCUUUUGAGCCGGGAAGAGCUACGUCAACACGGAGGCCCUUUUGGUCUGCGCCAGCCUCCGCCUCCUAUCCUCAGCUGAUGGUGGUGCGGGCUCUCCGCCAUCGAAGCUUUUUAAAUGAAUAGUAAGACCUCUGGUUGUGUAGAAGCAUAUGCUUCAUGUGUUAAAGCUGCAUUCUAUCUACUGACCACCAGGGAGCGACUCCCCUGGUUGUAUAUAAGCAUAUGCUUCAUAUGUUAAAGCUGCAUUCUCUCUACUGACCACCAGGGGGUGACUCCUCUGGUUGUAUAGAAGUCUAUGCUUCAUGUGUUAAAGCUGCAUUAUCUCUACUGACCACCAAGGGGCGACUCCUCUGGUUGUUUAGAAGCAUAUGCUUCAUGUGUUAAAGCUGCAUUAUCUCUACUGACCACCAAGGGGCGACUCCUCUGGUUGUAUAGAAGCAUAUGCUUCAUGUGUUAAAGCUGCAUUCUCUCUCCUGACCACUAGGGGGUGACUCCUCUGGUUGUAUAGAAGUCAACGCUUCAUGUGUUAAAGCUGCAUUCUCUCUACUGAUCACCAAGGGGUGACUCCUCUGGUUGUAUAGAAGUUUAUAUAAAUGACAAUACUUCUCUCUUGAUGUAUUCCCUCAGCAAACAUUGUAAACAUGAGUUUUUGUCUCAAUCUCUAGUUUCAAGUCUUCUUCUAUACAGCAUGAUGUCAUCAUUUAGUACAUUAUGGUCAUUUAGAGUCACACAGACCUUGAAGAAGGAUUGUGUUUUAGGGCUACGAGGUGAUUGGCGUUGACUUUAACACUUUCACAGCGUGUUUUCAGUUCAUAAACGUUCAUUAUAACCACUUUGGUUGAUUUGUUUAAACGUCUCAGUCAGCGUGCGGUUGUACUUCGCUUCUUCCGGUUGCAAAAAUUCAAGAUGUCGACCGUGCAUGUCACGUGUCAACAUUUCUGACCACAAAAUAUACAUUUCAUGAACAUGUUUAUAUCUCGUUUGCAGAAACCGAUGAUUACAAUGUACAUUAUGUAAAAAGUGUAAAGUCAAUGUAACCUUUGCUUGUUUUAUUGUUUCUUUGCCUCGUGAACAGUUGUUUACUCUCCUCAGCAAGACAGCGAGUGAGUGCAUUUCACCGUAGCCUCUCGUCUUAAUGUCAGCAAUAGUCCGUCAUCUCGUCUCCCCGGUUAUUACAUGUCACUGACCUUCUGUUGCCGGUCCAUCAGGUGAGCGUGACCACUGAAUGGGCGUCUUUCAUGCGACCCGCUGGCUUCAUCUCAGCUUGUGGAUUUAGCAGCAAAAGAUUCACAUUUAAUUCUCGCCCCUCUGACCUCCAGCGAUCCGCCUCGGAAUAAAAACCGACCUCCGUGUUUCACCCCUCUUUCAUCAUAUCUAAAAAAAAAUAAAAAAAAUAAAGAGCCAUUCACCUCCUUCUUUACUCUAACGCGAGGGAUGAAGGCGGGAACACGAAAAUCAUCGUCGUCUCGGUAAGCGCCGCAUCGGAAACGUCGUAUAAAUAUUUUUAUUAACGUAAAUAUUUGAUUGACACCUUCUGGAUGGAGAAUGUACCUUUUUCUUCUGUUAUUUGGGUGAAGCAACACUUUAAAAAGUAGUUAAAUUAACAAUAUUAAUCCAAUCUCAAGCUAACAGCCAUUUGGAUAACUCUUAGUUUCGUUAGCCAAAAUAAAUGUACUGUGUAGGAGAACUCUGCCAAUAAGUCACGCGUUAUAACUAUUUAUUGUGUGAUAUUUCUUGCCAUAAACAACCGCAGCUAGUUCUUCAACAACAACAGCGUUGACCGAAACAUUUGACCCUUUUCAAUCGGCCCCCGUGUCCACCGCUAAGUCCAUAUCUCACACAUAUCUCUGAAAAGCUGGAAAAAGCGGGAAAUACUAUGAGCCGGAAAAAGGUCAAACGAUCACAAGCCUAUAAAAGAUUUAUUGGAAGUCACAGUGGGAAGAAUGACGACGCAUCUGCGCUGCCUCAAAAAAGCGUUUUGGCCGCAUCGCGCCCCGAGAGUUUAUCUGGCGGUUGCGUCUCCGGCGUGUCGUGAACACGGCGGUUAUCUCCACGGUAAUGGGGAACAGGCGGCGGCCAUGUUGGGAGAGAACAAAGACAUCUGGGUGGGACCCGAAAGGGGGGAAGGAAAAACAGGGGGCCACUGCGAAAAAUAAUAAAAACGAGUGGGGAAACACAUUUUUUUCCAUUCGGGGUUCCCGGUGGCUCGGAUCCGGAGGAAAAGACGGAUCCAACACCUGCGCCGCGAGGAGAUGACGUCCGAACGCAGAGUUCAGGUCACGGCGUGUGGAAACGUGUUGCGUGUGAUCACCGAUUGAUACUCGUUUCAGGACAUGAGGCUGAAGGGACGCGGCGUCCGGGGCCUCAACCCGGCCUUCGGGCGGAGCCUUCCUCUGCUCGCGGACCAGAGCUUGAGCUUCACUCCGGCGGAGCGCGCCUUGAAAAUGGUGCGCAGGAACUCCGACAUCGAUAUGCUGUGGUGUAUGAUUGGAAGAGUGUACCGACCCUGCUGGAAAAAAAUAAAUGUUUCCCCGAUGCUGCCGCCGUCCAGCCUGAUUGUGCUGUAAAAUUAAAAAUUAAAAAUUAAAUUCCUUA